rnacentral:rRNA from 1 species
ACGCUCGACACCUACGGAGGCAGCAGUGGGGAAUAUUGCACAACGGGGGAAACCCGUGAUGCAGCGACGCCGCGUGGAGGAAGAAGGUCUUCGGAUUGUAAACUCCUGUUGUUGGGGAAAAAGAGGAUGGUACCCAACAAGGAAGUGACGGCUAACUACGUGCCCGCAGCCGCGGUAAUCUGAGCGGGCUGGCAAGGC